UUUUUUGACGAAAUUUAAUAAAAGAAAGAGACUUCCUGUACUCACAGGCAGGGGAACAGUUCUGUUCUGUUCUGUGUUUUGUAUUAAACAGCUUUCCAUGCAAUGUAAUCCACUCUAACUUGUGUUGUUCUGAUUACUUUUAUCAUCCACUUUUGAGGAGGCACAAUCAGCUAAUCAUAUAGAAAUGCUCUACAUCUCAACUAGGUGUGCGGGGCUUUCUGGAGUGGACGCGAUGAUAAAACGUGUUCGUUACUAUCCUGAUGGCACAAAGAAGCGUGGAUCAGAAGUCAAAGAUAAAAGGCGUGAUGAGGAUUACCAGUUGGCUCGAACUUUGGUGGACAAGUAUAACGACCAUCACAAUCUUUUUGGGGUCGGCACACUUUCCUCGCUUCAUCAUAACUCUGUCCUGAUAGCAUAGCAGGGCUGCUAACAAAUUGCAAGCACUUAUCAGAUCCACACCUCUUAUUUUAGGAUCUUGCAUAUGACGUCAAAGAUUUUCUGCAUGGCAACCCUCUUUGGGAGGAUUAUUAUAUCCAUUGGACGUACUUUCAUAUGAAUUUCACUGCAAAGACCGAAGGAUCUUAUGGUGUCGACACUGGCAACCUAUUCUUUGCUGAAGUCAAAUAUAAUCGAGGAGAUGAUGGAUUAACGGUGAACAGUUGCUGUAUACUUGAACCUUCUUCUGAUCAUGGUAUUCUAUGAGCAUCCUGACUUACAUCUUAUUUUUUAUUUAUUGUUUGUGGAAAUAACUUACAUCUUAUCUGUUACAGCCAACCUUUUAACAUUCAAUUGUGAAGCUGUUAAUAUGUGUUCGCGCCUGGUUAGUUAUUUGGCAGUUAAAUGAAAAUUACCCCUCCUUUUUUAAACAAAGGCCUCUGCUAUGGUUGUGGAGGUGAUGUGAAGCACCCCAAUGAUGGUAAUGCAUAUGCUUGCGGUCGGCGGAACAUGUCGUAUCGUUUUCAGAAUGGUGGACCUCAACUACCUCCGGACUACUACGAGGACCGCUAUUACGAGGACUCUGAUGAAGAAGUGGAAAGGCUGAGAUCUCAGUUCAAGGUAGUAAUGACAUGGUUCUAAUUCCUGUGCAGUAUAUAUAGUACCAUCUGUUCGUUGACUCAUGGAUGAAUAAUUCCUUGCUUGUGUGUUCAUUUUCUUCAGGAGUACGAUGAUGAUCCAGAUACUGCAGAGCAACUCGAGCCUCAUAGCGUACAAUUUGAGGCUUAAUUAACCGCCGAAGUCAAAAUUAGAACGGUGUUCCUGGCAUGAAAGAACUCGUCUCCUAUUUUUCUUCCGACUUAACACUUUGAUAUGGCCGCUAUGGGAUCUGCCUCCGUCUGUCGUUCUCUGAGGAAUAUUAUGUAUACAUCUUGUAUUAAUUAGUCUGCCUAACCUUUAGGAUACGGUCUAACCCUGUAAGAAUUUAGUUAAUUUGAUUGAACUAAAAAGAGUAAGAAUUUAGUUAUUUUGAUUGAA